CGGUUGAGCGAAUUUACCAUU
rnacentral:snRNA from 1 species